rnacentral:rRNA from 1 species
AGAGUUUGAUCCUGGCUCAGAAUGAACGCUGGCGGCGUGCUUAACACAUGCAAGUCGAGCGAGGCCAGGGGGGCAACUCCCUGAGUCGAGCGGCGGACGGGUGAGUAACACGUGGGUAACCUACCCGGAAGUGGGGAAUACCUCGGGGAAACUCGAGCUAAUACCGCAUGACAUCUUCGGGACGAAAGUCCUGACGAUCAAAGCGGGGUCGCAAGAUCUCGCGCUACCGGAUGGGCCCGCGCCCGAUUAGCUAGUUGGUGAGGUAACGGCUCACCAAGGCGACGAUCGGUAACCGGCCUGAGAGGGCGAUCGGUCACACCGGAACUGAGACACGGUCCGGACUCCUACGGGAGGCAGCAGUGGGGAAUCUUGCGCAAUGGGCGAAAGCCUGACGCAGCAACGCCGCGUGGAGGAUGAAGGCCCUUGGGUUGUAAACUCCUGUCGGCUGGGAAGAAAUCGUUCGCGGCUAAUACCCGCGGACGUUGACUGUACCAGCAAAGGAAGCCCCGGCUAACUCUGUGCCAGCAGCCGCGGUAAUACAGAGGGGGCCAGCGUUAUUCGGAAUUAUUGGGCGUAAAGGGCGCGUAGGCGGCCAUGCGUGUCUUCCGUGAAAUCCCUCGGCUCAACCGAGGACGUGCGGAAGAAACUGCAAGGCUCGAGUCCAGAAGAGGGGGGCGGAAUUCCCAGUGUAGCGGUGAAAUGCGUAGAUAUUGGGAGGAACACCGGUGGCGAAGGCGGCCCCCUGGGCUGGUACUGACGCUGAUGCGCGAAAGCGUGGGUAGCAAACGGGAUUAGAUACCCCGGUAGUCCACGCCGUAAACGAUGGGCACUUGGUGUCGCGGGUAUCGACCCCUGCGGUGCCGAAGCUAACGCAUUAAGUGCCCCGCCUGGGGAGUACGGUCGCAGGCUUAAAACUCAAAGGAUUGACGG